GCAUUGGUGGUUCAGUGGUAGAAUUCGUGUCUUUCAUGAGGAAAACUCAGGUGUAAUUCCUCACCAGUGCA
rnacentral:tRNA from 1 species